UACGGAGGAUGCAAGCGUUAUCCGGAAUCAUUGGGUUUAAAGGGUCCGUAGGCGGGUUCAUAAGUCAGAGGUGAAAGUCUGCAGCUCAACUGUAGAAGUGCCUUUGAUACUGGUAACCUUGAGUAAGUAUGAAGUGGUUAGAAUAUGUAGUGUAGCGGUGAAAUGCAUAGAUAUUACAUAGAAUACCGAUUGCGAAGGCAGAUCACUAAUAAUUUACUGACGCUGAGGGACGAAAGCGUAGGUAGCGAACAGG
rnacentral:misc_RNA from 1 species